AACGAACGCUGGCGGCAUGCCUAACACAUGCAAGUCGAACGAGACCUUCGGGUCUAGUGGCGCACGGGUGCGUAACGCGUGGGAACCUGCCCUUAGGUUCGGAAUAACUCCCCGAAAGGGGUGCUAAUACCGGAUAAUGUCUUCGGACCAAAGAUUUAUCGCCUUUGGAUGGGCCCGCGUUGGAUUAGCUAGUUGGUAGGGUAAAAGCCUACCAAGGCGACGAUCCAUAGCUGGUCUGAGAGGAUGAUCAGCCACACUGGGACUGGGACACGGCCCAGACUCCUCCGGGAGGCAGCAGUGGGGAAUAUUGGACCAUGGGCGAAAGCCUGAUCCAGCAAUGCCGCGUGAGUGAUGAAGGCCUUAGGGUUGUAAAGCUCUUUUACCCGGGAUGAUAAUGACAGUACCGGGAGAAUAAGCGCCGGCUAACUCCGUG
rnacentral:rRNA from 1 species